UACGUAGGGGCCAAGCGUUGUCCGGAAUUAUUGGGCGUAAAGAGCUCGUAGGCGGUUUGUCGCGUCUGCUGUGAAAACUCGGGGCUCAACUCCGAGCUUGCAGUGGGUACGGGCAGACUAGAGUGCGGUAGGGGAGACUGGAAUUCCUGGUGUAGCGGUGGAAUGCGCAGAUAUCAGGAGGAACACCGGUGGCGAAGGCGGGUCUCUGGGCUAUAACUGACGCUCAUGCACGAAAGCGUGGGGAGCAAACAGG
rnacentral:rRNA from 1 species